CUUGUACACUAUUAAAGCUCGGGGGGAGGCGAGCCUUGGCCAGUGAACUUCUGAGUGUCGGAAGUAUGCUACAUUGAUGGCAGGAUUUUCACUAACACCAGCAGAGCAUGACUCUGAGACUGGAACUUGGUACUGAUCGCUGCUACAUAA
ensembl:snoRNA SNORA62 Small nucleolar RNA SNORA62/SNORA6 family